CAAGACUAAACCUCAGCCGCGACUAGACCGGCUGCUCUUUGCCAGUUUGUGGUUAUACAUUCUGGUUGAGUUUAAAAAAAAUUUCCUACCUAACUGCGUUGUAACACACCGGCCAGAAAGUUUAUUCUCUUCCGUUCUUCAACUUUCAUUCGAUUCUUCCUUCCCCGACCAUGCACAAACACACCUCCACCCAUGAUCGCAUCUUCAAGUUCGACUCCACCAAAGAGAACUUUUUCUGUUCUUAGACUCUUCCUGCCGAUUUAUUGACGACAAAAUUUGUCGCGACCGUGAUGAUAACAGUGAUGACUUCGGCCGACGAUUGACGAGUACUGACAACGGAAGUUUAUCUUUUUCAUGCUUCCACACCCCUCUGAUCCUUUAGUAAAUUGAGCAAAUUUUGCUUUUGCGAUUUUUCACUUUGCUGCUGCUUGUGUUUUAUAGGUCUAUGAAGGGCUAAAUUUGGAUACAGCUAGGAGCUACAUCAACUCAUCAAAGAGUUUGGAGGCAAUAAAAAUUUUGGUUCUUUCGGUACCCCCAUGAUGCAAUGAAACAAGAAACAGGUUAUUGGGCAGUGGGGGGGCAGGAUUCACUGCGAAGGGUUACAAUGUAACUUUUCUGAUCUCUGCUUUGAUUUUCCAUGUAAGCUCUCCCUGUUAUUAUAUAUAUGUAUUUCUUGAGAAAAUAGAGUCUUUGGAAAGUUAAAUUGUCAUCCCAAACUAGCACCCUUAAUUUGAAUUAGGUGGAGAAAGGAAGUUUAAUGCUUUGUGGCUUUCUAAUUUACUUUAUUCUUCUGGGAUGAGGUCUUUGGGAAGAUCUGCAGUUUCUAUGUUCAUUAGUUAUUGUUUCUCCCCAACAAUGAUAGGAGAUGAAAAAAUAGAAUUGGAUACUGCCACGUGAUGCCUUUCCCAAUCAAUGGCAGGUAUGGCUUUUAAAAAGAUCAUUCAAAAAGCAAACUUUUAAAAUCCACACGUUACACUUAUUUGUAUACUGAUAGUUCUUGUCUCUUACAGUUUAUAAAUUAUGCAGCUUUUGUGUGAUGUAUAUUCUCCAAUGAGAUUCUAUUGAGGCUUGCUUUCCAUCUUCUGUUUAAUUUCGUUGCCUAAUAAGAUUUCGGAAAGCCUUUUGUUAACGCCAUCAUGUAAUUAUCCUGUUGUUUAUGUUUGCUAAUUAUGAUUUUGAACAUUUAUUGAUAGUGACUGGUUAUGCUCCUGUCUACCACAAUGCAGAGUUUAAUUUUCAUGGGAGUUAAUUUGUUGAACUUUGGUUGGCCUAAAUAGAUGAGUGACUGAUCAAUGGAGGAAUGCUCCAUUAGGACUACUGCCCCAAGUUUCUUCGACUAGAACACUCCGAGGCUUAAAUGUUGAAAGGUGUUUUGAAUGGCAGAGAUAUGUCCAUAGUUCAUGGGCUAAAACUUACCUAAUUCUCUCAUUAACAAUGGUGGACACUUGUUUGUAUGCAAGAAGUAGAAAUUUCACAUUCUUGUUCGAUGAUUUUGAUGAGCUUCUUUUAUUCUGUUGAACUGUAACAUUUAUUUCAGUUUGAGAAGUAUAUAUUAAUAUUGAAAUUUCAAUCA